AAGUGUGAUGAUUUACUCCCGGACCGAGCAAUGCUGUGAGGACUACUUACCCGGCUGACA
rnacentral:ncRNA from 14 species